GCUGGGCAUGGUGGUGCGUGCCUGUAAUCCCAGCUACUUGGGAGGCUGAGACAGGAGAAUCGCUUGAACCCAGGGGGCAGAGGUUGCAGUGAGCUGAGAUCGUACCACUGCACUCCAGCCUGGGUGACAGAGUGAGACUCCAUCUCAA
rnacentral:SRP_RNA from 1 species